rnacentral:rRNA from 1 species
AUUGAACGCUGGCGGCAUGCCUUACACAUGCAAGUCGAACGGCAGCACGGGGCAACCUGGUGGCGAGUGGCGAACGGGUGAGUAAUGCAUCGGAACGUACCUUUCAGUGGGGGAUAACGUAGCGAAAGUUACGCUAAUACCGCAUAUUCUGUGAGCAGGAAAGCAGGGGAUCGCAAGACCUUGCGCUGAUUGAGCGGCCGAUGUCAGAUUAGCUAGUUGGUGAGGUAAAGGCUCACCAAAGCGACGAUCUGUAGCGGGUCUGAGAGGAUGAUCCGCCACACAGGAACUGCGACACGGUCCGGGCUCCUACGGGAGGCAGCAGUGGGGAAUUUUGGACAAUGGGGCCAACCCCGAUCCAGCCAUGCCGCGUGAGUGAAGAAGGCCUUCGGGUUGUAAAGCUCUUUCGGCCGGGAAGAAAUCGCACGGGCUAAUACCCUGUGUGGAUGAUGGUACCGGAAUAAGAAGCACCGGCUAACUACGUGCCAGCAGCCGCCGUAA